UAGGGAAUCUUCCACAAUGGACGCAAGUCUGAUGGAGCAACGCCGCGUGAGUGAAGAAGGUCUUCGGAUCGUAAAACUCUGUUGUUAGGGAAGAACACGAGUGAGAGUAACUGUUCAUUCGAUGACGGUAUCUAACCAGCAAGUCACGGCUAACUACGCGCCAG
rnacentral:rRNA from 1 species